AAGGACAUUGUGGUCUCAUAAAAAAAAAAAAAAAAAAGAGGUUUUGAAGAGAUAUUGCAGCCAGAACAACUGUUUUUGCUAUGCAGUACAAAUCUGUGAAUAAACAUGCAAGCAGGCACACAUUGUGCAGCUUUCAGCAAGCUGCAGACUACUGUCAAUUUGACUUUAGACAGGAACCAUUAACCCAUUACUGUCUUUCUAUUACGAGAACAAGAGCCCUUGGUGUUUGUCCAUUCAGCAGUGAGCUCCGUGGCACUUGGACCAUGACAAGCUGGGAGGCAUUAGUGAAUAUAAGCAGAAAAUAGAAGAACCAUCCAUUCCCUACAUAGAAGAGGCUUACAUUUGCUUCUUGUGCAGCCAGUGCUCUUCAGACCAGGAAUGAUGCCUGCUGCUGUCUGAGAUGAGUGACUGCUGGGAGAACAUUUUGUCCCCCAUGAUUUGUGUUGUAGAAGACAGCUAUAGACAAGAGGCCACCGUAGGAAAUCUGCACAGCAGGUAGUUGCCAUCAUUUGAGUGCACUGGAGAAGAGCUGGUGUAAAAGGACCACUGAGGGGGAACUGAGAGCAUGUGCAAGGUAGCACUAGUAGCACAGCCUUAACACGCAGCUGUGUGGUCUUAGAGCCUUACAGUUGGCCCCAGAAGUAGGGUCACCCCACUGCUCUGACCCCACUACACUGAGGAGUAUCUCUUCCCUGUCCCAUCACA